rnacentral:rRNA from 1 species
AGCGAACGCUGGCGGCAGGCUUAACACAUGCAAGUCGAGCGGGCAUCUUCGGAUGUCAGCGGCAGACGGGUGAGUAACACGUGGGAACGUACCCUUCGGUUCGGAACAACUCUGGGAAACUGGAGCUAAUACCGGAUACGCCCUUAUGGGGAAAGGUUUACUGCCGAAGGAUCGGCCCGCGUCUGAUUAGCUAGUUGGUGGGGUAACGGCCUACCAAGGCGACGAUCAGUAGCUGGUCUGAGAGGAAGGUCAGCCACACUGGGACUGAGACACGGCAGGGACUCCUACGGGAGGCAGCAGUGGGGAAUGUUGGACAAUGGGCGCAAGCCUGAUCCAGCCAUGCCGCGUGAGUGAUGAAGGCCGUAGAGUUGUAAAGCUCUUUUGACCGGGACGAUAAUGACGGUACCGGAAGAAUAAGCCCCGGCUAACUUCGUG